CGUAGGUGGCAAGCGUUGUCCGGAAUUAUGGGGCGUAAAGCGCGCGCAGGCGGUUCCUUAAGUCUGAUGUGAAAGCCCCCGGCUCAACCGGGGAAGGUCAUUGGAAACUGGGGAACUUGAGUGCAGAAGAGAAGAGCGGAAUUCCACGUGUAGCGGUGAAAUGCGUAGAGAUGUGGAGGAACACCAGUGGCGAAGGCGGCUCUUUGGUCUGUAACUGACGCUGAGGCGCGAAAGCGUGGGGAGCAAACAGGAUUAGAUACCCUGGUAGUCCACGCCGUAAACGAUGAGUGCUAAGUGUUAGAGGGUUUCCGCCCUUUAGUGCUGCAGCUAACGCAUUAAGCACUCCGCCUGGGGAGUACGGCCGCAAGGCUG
rnacentral:rRNA from 1 species